CAGGGUACUCGAGUGGCGAACGGGUGAGUAACACGUGGGUGAUCUGCCCUGCACUUCGGGAUAAGCUUGGGAAACUGGGUCUAAUACCGGAUAGGAGCCGUCUUUAGUGUGGUGGUUGGAAAGUUUUUUCGGUGUAGGAUGAGCUCGCGGCCUAUCAGCUUGUUGGUGGGGUAAUGGCCUACCGAGGCGGCGACGGGUAGCCGGCCUUAGAGGGUGUACGGCCACAUUGGGACUGAGAUACGGCCCAG
rnacentral:rRNA from 1 species